rnacentral:tRNA from 1 species
GGGCUGGGGCUCAGCGGUAGAGCACUCGCCUAGCAUGUGUGAGGCCCUGGGUUCGAUCCUCAGCACCACA